GGGUAGCCAAUCCCUAAAAACUGCCCUUUGAUGCCCUUAAAAGGGACGCUUCUUGCAUGGUGGGGGAUCGUGCCAAAUCCCCUUUUCAUGGGCAAGGCCAAAGCAGAUUAGACGGCCCCCUACAAUUUAUCUGUACGAAAGGCGAAUACUUAUUUUAUGACAA
rnacentral:sRNA from 12 species